rnacentral:rRNA from 1 species
UACAGAGGUCUCAAGCGUUGUUCGGAUUCAUUGGGCGUAAAGGGUGCGUAGGCGGCGCGGUAAGUCGGGUGUGAAAUCUCGGAGCUUAACUCCGAAACUGCAUUCGAUACUGCCGUGCUUGAGGACUGGAGAGGAGACUGGAAUUUACGGUGUAGCGGUGAAAUGCGUAGAUAUCGUAAGGAAGACCAGUGGCGAAGGCGGGUCUCUGGAAAGUUCCUGACGCUGAGGCACGAAGGCCAGGGGAGCAAAGCGGG